AGAGUUUGAUCCUGGCUCAGGACGAACGCUGGCGGCGCGCCUAACACAUGCAAGUCGAACGAGCGAGAGAGAGUUUACUUUUUCGAGCGAGUGGCGAACGGGUGAGUAACGCGUGAGGAACCUGCCUCAAAGAGGGGGACAACAGUUGGAAACGACUGCUAAUACCGCAUAAGCCCACGGCUCGGCAUCGAGCAGAGGGAAAAGGAGCAAUCCGCUUUGAGAUGGCCUCGCGUCCGAUUAGCUAGUUGGUGAGGUAACGGCCCACCAAGGCGACGAUCGGUAGCCGGACUGAGAGGUUGAACGGCCACAUUGGGACUGAGACACGGCCCAGACUCCUACGGGAGGCAGCAGUGGGGAAUAUUGCACAAUGGGGGAAACCCUGAUGCAGCGACGCCGCGUGGAGGAAGAAGGUCUUCGGAUUGUAAACUCCUGUUGUUGAGGAAGAUAAUGACGGUACUCAACAAGGAAGUGACGGCUAACUACGUGCCAGCAGCCGCGGUAAAACGUAGGUCACAAGCGUUGUCCGGAAUUACUGGGUGUAAAGGGAGCGCAGGCGGGAAGACAAGUUGGAAGUGAAAUCCAUGGGCUCAACCCAUGAACUGCUUUCAAAACUGUUUUUCUUGAGUAGUGCAGAGGUAGGCGGAAUUCCCGGUGUAGCGGUGGAAUGCGUAGAUAUCGGGAGGAACACCAGUGGCGAAGGCGGCCUACUGGGCACCAACUGACGCUGAGGCUCGAAAGUGUGGGUAGCAAACAGGAUUAGAUACCCUGGUAGUCCACACUGUAAACGAUGAUUACUAGGUGUUGGAGGAUUGACCCCUUCAGUGCCGCAGUUAACACAAUAAGUAAUCCACCUGGGGAGUACGACCGCAAGGUUGAAACUCAAAGGAAUUGACGGGGGCCCGCACAAGCAGUGGAGUAUGUGGUUUAAUUCGACGCAACGCGAAGAACCUUACCAAGUCUUGACAUCCUGCGACGCACAUAGAAAUAUGUGUUUCCUUCGGGACGCAGAGACAGGUGGUGCAUGGUUGUCGUCAGCUCGUGUCGUGAGAUGUUGGGUUAAGUC
rnacentral:rRNA from 1 species